rnacentral:rRNA from 1 species
AUUGAACGAUGGCGGCAGGCCUAACACAUGCAAGUCGAGCGAGCGGCGGACGGGUGAGUAAUGUCUGGGACACUGCCUGAUGGAGGGGGAUAACUACUGGAAACGGUAGCUAAUACCGCAUACCAUCAGAUGUGCCCAGAUGGGAAUAGCUAGUAGGUGGGGCAACGGCUCACCUAGGCGACGAUCCCUAGCUGGUCUGAGAGGAUGACCAGCCAAACUGAAACUGAGACACGGGCCAGACUCCUACGGGAGGCAGCAGUGGGGAGUAUGGCACAAUGGGCGCAAGCCUGAUGCAGCCAUGCCGCGUGUGUGAAGAAGGCCUUCGGGUUGUAAAGCACUUUCAGCGGAGAGGCGUUACCCGCAGAAGAAGCACCGGCUAACUCCGUGCCAGCAGCCGCGGUAAUUC